rnacentral:rRNA from 1 species
UUAAGUGAAUAAGGGCGCACGGUGGAUGCCUUGGCACUAGGAGCCGAUGAAGGACGGGACUAACACCGAUAUGCUUCGGGGAGCUGUAAGUAAGCUUUGAUCCGGAGAUUUCCGAAUGGGGAAACCCAGCAUCUUUGAUAGGAUGUUACUUUUCAGUGAAUACAUAGCUGAUUAGAGGUAGACGCAGAGAACUGAAACAUCUAAGUACCUGCAGGAAGAGAAAGAAAAUUCGAUUCCCUGAGUAGCGGCGAGCGAAACGGGAAAAGCCCAAACCAAGAUGCUUGCAUCUUGGGGUUGUAGGACUCCGAUAUGGUAGUUUAUUCAGAUAAUCGAAGGACUUGGAAAAGUCUGCUAGAGAGGGUAAAAGCCCCGUAGAUGAAAUUUGAAUAGCACCUAGGAGGAUCCUGAGUACGGCGGAACACGAGGAAUUCCGUCGGAAUCCGGGAGGACCAUCUCCCAAGGCUAAAUACUCCCUAGUGACCGAUAGUGAACCAGUACCGUGAGGGAAAGGUGAAAAGCACCCCGGAAGGGGAGUGAAAUAGAUCCUGAAACCGUGUGCCUACAACAAGUCAAAGCCCGUUAAUGGGUGAUGGCGUGCCUUUUGUAGAAUGAACCGGCGAGUUACGAUUACUUGCGAGGUUAAGUCGAAAAGACGGAGCCGCAGCGAAAGCGAGUCUGAAAUGGGCGAAUGAGUAAGUGGUCGUAGACCCGAAACCAUGUGAUCUACCCAUGUCCAGGUUGAAGGUGCGGUAAAACGCACUGGAGGACCGAACCCACGUACGUUGAAAAGUGCGGGGAUGAGGUGUGGGUAGCGGAGAAAUUCCAAACGAACUUGGAGAUAGCUGGUUCUCUCCGAAAUAGCUUUAGGGCUAGCCUCAGAGUGAGAAUGAUGGAGGUAGAGCACUGUUUGGACUAGGGGCCCAUCUCGGGUUACCGAAUUCAGAUAAACUCCGAAUGCCAUUCAUUCAUCUCUGGGAGUCAGACUGUGAGUGAUAAGAUCCAUAGUCGAAAGGGAAACAGCCCAGACCACCAGCUAAGGUCCCAAAAUGUAUGUUAAGUGGAAAAGGAUGUGGGGUUGCACAGACAACUAGGAUGUUGGCUUAGAAGCAGCCACCAUUUAAAGAGUGCGUAAUAGCUCACUAGUCGAGUGACCCUGCGCCGAAAAUGUACCGGGGCUAAACAUACUACCGAAGCUGUGGAUCGUACCAAUGGUACGAUGGUAGGAGAGCGUUCUAAGGGCGUUGAAGGUAGAUCGUGAGGACUGCUGGAGCGCUUAGAAGUGAGAAUGCCGGUAUGAGUAGCGAAAGACAGGUGAGAAUCCUGUCCACCGUAUGACUAAGGUUUCCUGGGGAAGGCUCGUCCGCCCAGGGUUAGUCGGGACCUAAGCCGAGGCCGAAAGGCGUAGGCGAUGGAUAACAGGUUGAUAUUCCUGUACCCGUUGUUUUUGUUUGAGCAAUGGAGGGACGCAGUAGGCUAAGGAAUCAGACGAUCGGAAAUGUCUGUCCAAGCAAUGAGUCUUGAGGUGAGUCAAAUGCUUACUUCUUUAAGGACAAGUUGUGAUGGGGAGGGAAAUAACAGUACCGAAGUUCCUGAUGUCACACUGCCAAGAAAAGCUUCUAGUGAGAAAACAACGGCCCGUACCGUAAACCGACACAGGUAGUCGAGGAGAGCAUCCUAAGGUGAGCGAGCGAACUCUCGUUAAGGAACUCGGCAAAAUGACCCCGUAACUUCGGGAGAAGGGGUGCUGAUCUAACGAUCAGCCGCAGUGAAUAGGCCCAAGCGACUGUUUAUCAAAAACACAGGUCUCUGCAAAAUCGAAAGAUGACGUAUAGGGGCUGACGCCUGCCCGGUGCUGGAAGGUUAAGAGGAGUGCUUAGCGUAAGCGAAGGUACGAAUUGAAGCCCCAGUAAACGGCGGCCGUAACUAUAACGGUCCUAAGGUAGCGAAAUUCCUUGUCGGGUAAGUUCCGACCCGCACGAAAGGCGUAACGAUUUGGGCACUGUCUCAACGAGAGACUCGGUGAAAUUUUAGUACCUGUGAAGAUGCAGGUUACCCGCGACAGGACGGAAAGACCCCAUGGAGCUUUACUGCAGUUUGAUAUUGAGUGUCUGUACCACAUGUACAGGAUAGGUAGGAGCCUUAGAAGCCGGGACGCCAGUUUCGGCUGAGGCAAUGGUGGGAUACUACCCUUGUGUUAUGGCCACUCUAACCC